CGGAGCCUGAGCUUGGACAUGGAGCUCUUGCACCAGGACCGAUUGAUUCUUGUGCUUUCUCCUUGCAGCUUCAUGGCCGGAAGGCCCUCGGAUAGCAAGGCUGGAGUGUGGGAAAUGCUGUCUCCUCACAGGAUGGAUGCCGUCAGAAGACUGAGGAUUCAGCUGUGGACCUAUUUCAGGGUAAAGAAAGGACAGUCUAAUGAGAAAACUUGUGAACUGACUAGCGGUGUUGGAGGUGCCAGGGAUAACAGACGUUUCUGGUCCCUUUGACACCAUUCCUGGGUACUGGUAAGACACUGUACGAGUGGAUAAAACUUGCCCGUGGACAACAGGUGGCUUCAGAGGACGAGCUACUUCAUGAGUUAAAUGUGGUUGCAUCACAAGCUUGCUGAAAAGGAGUAUGUUUCUAGUCUCCACUCUGAAAUCUUGGCCUGCCAUUCUUGGGCUUCGUCCACUGCAUUUUAGUACCACCGUGCCCCAGGCUGUGUGUUUAUGGAAUGGAAAUUGCACACUCGUAGGUCUUAUUCUCUGAGUACAACUGAGCGACUAAGCACAGGGUGCUUGGCCGUGCCUUGGACAUAAAGUUAAUUUUUCUUGCUUGUGGUUGGGUCAGAGGGGAGACUUCGUCUCGGUGGUGAGGCGUGAUCCUCUAUGGACAACCACUGAGCCCCCUUUCUGCUCAUCUGAGUAGUAUUGUCAGACUAUUUUUUUUACUCUAUUACUCUAAACUUUUUAAAUGAAAACAGAUGUAUUUUUUUUUUUAGUACUUGUGAUCUUUUUUUUUUUUUACAGCAUGUUUACUUGAGCAUAACCAGAACCAUGCAGUAGGGUGAUCACCCACAGUUUGCAUAAAGAUAACCUAACCACAGACCAGUUAGCACGUGAGGAAGAAGAAACAGCAGCAGGCCGCCUGCCGCCUGGGGCCGUGUGGAUAUUGAGGUACCCGGAAGGUCCCACACACGUGGCUGUGGGAGUCUCAGCCCCAGUGUGUCCCCAGGGUCUUCUCUUUGGGACCCUUUUCUCCUCCUAGCUGCUUUUCUCCUUCUCCAUGCAGGGUCUAGCCUGUAUGUUUCCUGUUGGCCAGGGUUCUUCUCAGAGAGGGACGUGGUGGAGGUGGGACUCAGAUUGAAGAUCUUCUCAUUUUCCCCACGUCUUCUCACUUUGCCAACAAAGCUCUAUAAAGUCAAAGGUAUGGUUUUUCCACUCGUCACAUACGGAUGUGAGAGUUGGACCACAAAGAAGGCUGAAGAAUGGAUGCUUUCGAACUAUGGUGCUGGAGAAGACUCUUGAGAAUCCCUUGGACUGCGAGGAGAUCCAACCAGUCCAUCCUAAAGAAAAUCAGUCCUGAACACUUGUUGGAAGGACUGAUGUUGAAGCUGAAACUCCAAUCCUUUGGCCACCUGAUGCGAAGAGCUGACUCAUUGGAAAAGACCCUGAUGCUGGAAAAGAUUGAGGGCAGGAGGAGAAGGGGAUGACAGAGGGUGAGAUGGUUGGAUGGCAUCACCAACUCGAAGGACAUGAGUUUGAGCAAGCUCUGGGAAUUGGUGAUGGACAGGGAGAGCUGGCAUGCUGCAGUCCAUGGGGUCGCAAAGAGUCGGACACAACUUAGCCACUGAACAACAGCAAUGUUUUUUCCGGAACUCUUGCAGAGUCCAAACUAGCUCUGUUCACUGCACAACAAGCCAAUAAAAUGUAGGACGAGGUGUUGAAGCA
ensembl:lncRNA